rnacentral:rRNA from 1 species
CAGUCGCCACGGGAAUACAGAGGGUGCGAGCGUUAAUCGGAUUUACUGGGCGUAAAGCGUGCGUAGGCGGCUUUUUAAGUCGGAUGUGAAAUCCCUGAGCUUAACUUAGGAAUUGCAUUCGAUACUGGGAAGCUAGAGUAUGGGAGAGGAUGGUAGAAUUCCAGGUGUAGCGGUGAAAUGCGUAGAGAUCUGGAGGAAUACCGAUGGCGAAGGCAGCCAUCUGGCCUAAUACUGACGCUGAGGUACGAAAGCAUGGGGAGCAAACAGGAUUAGAGACCCCGGUAGUCCCUGUCUCUUAUAC